GACGAACGCUGGCGGCGUGCUUAACACAUGCAAGUCGAACGGAAAGGCCCUGCUUUUGUGGGGUGCUCGAGUGGCGAACGGGUGAGUAACACGUGAGUAACCUGCCCUUGACUUUGGGAUAACUUCAGGAAACUGGGGCUAAUACCGGAUAGGAGCUCCUGCUGCAUGGUGGGGGUUGGAAAGUUUCGGCGGUUGGGGAUGGACUCGCGGCUUAUCAGCUUGUUGGUGGGGUAGUGGCUUACCAAGGCUUUGACGGGUAGCCGGCCUGAGCGGGUGACCGGCCACAUUGGGACUGAGAUACGGCCCAGACUCCUCCGGGAGGCAGCAGUGGGGAAUAUUGCACAAUGGGCGGAAGCCUGAUGCAGCAACGCCGCGUGCGGGAUGACGGCCUUCGGGUUGUAAACCGCUUUCGCCUGUGACGAAGCGUGAGUGACGGUAAUGGGUAAAGAAGCACCGGCUAACUACGUG
rnacentral:rRNA from 1 species